GAUGAACGCUGGCGGCGUGCCUAAUACAUGCAAGUCGAGCGAACGGACGAGAAGCUUGCUUCUCUGAUGUUAGCGGCGGACGGGUGAGUAACACGUGGAUAACCUACCUAUAAGACUGGGAUAACUUCGGGAAACCGGAGCUAAUACCGGAUAAUAUUUUGAACCGCAUGGUUCAAAAGUGAAAGACGGUCUUGCUGUCACUUAUAGAUGGAUCCGCGCUGCAUUAGCUAGUUGGUAAGGUAACGGCUUACCAAGGCAACGAUGCAUAGCCGACCUGAGAGGGUGAUCGGCCACACUGGAACUGAGACACGGUCCAGACUCCUACGGGAGGCAGCAGUAGGGAAUCUUCCGCAAUGGGCGAAAGCCUGACGGAGCAACGCCGCGUGAGUGAUGAAGGUCUUCGGAUCGUAAAACUCUGUUAUUAGGGAAGAACAUAUGUGUAAGUAACUGUGCACAUCUUGACGGUACCUAAUCAGAAAGCCACGGCUAACUACGUGCCAGCAGCCGCGGUAAUACGUAGGUGGCAAGCGUUAUCCGGAAUUAUUGGGCGUAAAGCGCGCGUAGGCGGUUUUUUAAGUCUGAUGUGAAAGCCCACGGCUCAACCGUGGAGGGUCAUUGGAAACUGGAAAACUUGAGUGCAGAAGAGGAGAGUGGAAUUCCAUGUGUAGCGGUGAAAUGCGCAGAGAUAUGGAGGAACACCAGUGGCGAAGGCGACUUUCUGGUCUGUAACUGACGCUGAUGUGCGAAAGCGUGGGGAUCAAACAGGAUUAGAUACCCUGGUAGUCCACGCCGUAAACGAUGAGUGCUAAGUGUUAGGGGGUUUCCGCCCCUUAGUGCUGCAGCUAACGCAUUAAGCACUCCGCCUGGGGAGUACGACCGCAAGGUUGAAACUCAAAGGAAUUGACGGGGACCCGCACAAGCGGUGGAGCAUGUGGUUUAAUUCGAAGCAACGCGAAGAACCUUACCAAAUCUUGACAUCCUUUGACAACUCUAGAGAUAGAGCUUUCCCCUUCGGGGGACAAAGUGACAGGUGGUGCAUGGUUGUCGUCAGCUCGUGUCGUGAGAUGUUGGGUUAAGUCCCGCAACGAGCGCAACCCUUAAGCUUAGUUGCCAUCAUUAAGUUGGGCACUCUAAGUUGACUGCCGGUGACAAACCGGAGGAAGGUGGGGAUGACGUCAAAUCAUCAUGCCCCUUAUGAUUUGGGCUACACACGUGCUACAAUGGACAAUACAAAGGGCAGCGAAACCGCGAGGUCAAGCAAAUCCCAUAAAGUUGUUCUCAGUUCGGAUUGUAGUCUGCAACUCGACUACAUGAAGCUGGAAUCGCUAGUAAUCGUAGAUCAGCAUGCUACGGUGAAUACGUUCCCGGGUCU
rnacentral:rRNA from 1 species